rnacentral:rRNA from 1 species
GACGAACGCUGGCGGCGUGCUUAACACAUGCAAGUCGAGCGGUAAGGCCCUUUCGGGGGUACACGAGCGGCGAACGGGUGAGUAACACGUGGGUGACCUGCCCUCAGCUCUGGGAUAAGCCUGGGAAACUGGGUCUAAUACUGGAUAUGACUCCACGGUGCAUGUCGUGGGGUGGAAAGCCUUGUGCGGCUGAGGAUGGGCCCGCGGCCUAUCAGCUUGUUGGUGGGGUGAGGGCCUACCAAGGCGACGACGGGUAGCCGGCCUGAGAGGGGC